rnacentral:lncRNA from 1 species
AACAGUUGGCAGUUAACAGUCGGGAGGGUAAAACACAAUCAUGGUGCCAUAAAAGAGUGAAGGAGCCGGCAUUACACACAGACAGCCCGCAGAAGGGCAGCAACGUUUUGGAGCUCCUUUUAGUUCUCUUUAUUGAUAUAUUUUAAUUGAACCCAGAUUUUUUUUUUCCUGUCUAGCCCUUGGAGACAAGCUCUGCCAGAGCUCGUAUAGCAGAGAGAAGGUCUUGAGAUUAGUGAUACUCAGCGUUUCUGACACUGGAGACCUGCAUAAGAAUUUAACAAACUGGGAAGCAGUUUUCAUGACAACCCUUUUCAUUGCAUAGAUGUUACCAAGAGUUUGGGGGUGUUUUUAAGAAAAGCCAUUAGGCUGGAAGUCAGACACACCUGGAUUUGAGAUCCGCUCUGCUACUUCGUACUUGCGUGGUUUUGAGGAAUCAUUUGGCCUCUUUUCAGGUUUUAGAUCCUUCACCUGUAAAAUGAGGAUGGUUGUGAGAAAGGGAAAUUGCUCUGUAAACAGUGAAGCACUAUUCAAAUGCUCAGGCUUUGUAAAAAAUUGAUGGAAAAUGUCAUAAGAAGUGGGCAGUUCUGGUUUGCUUCCAUUGCUAUAGGAAGCUGGCACACACAAGAAAGUUUAUUGACAGCAGCUGAGAUGUGCUGAAGCUGGUAAUUAUCUUCAAGACAGGCUGAGUUUUGAUUGUACGUAAGGGUGCCUGGUAGACCUAUCAAUCAGACAUAUGCCUUGAUGUAAUGCUGACAGUCUAUUUACACAGAGGCAGCUGUGAUAUUAUAAAAGAAUGAAAGGCAUGCUGAAGGUCUAAGUUGUUGUAGGAUGGUAAAAAUCUGGUGUGAACAUGAGCGAAAGAGUUUCUGAAUUUUCAUUAUGAUCCAGCAUUUUAGAGAUGUAUGAAAACUUAGCAAUGAUUGAAUUCAACCCCUUCUCCGCAUGGAUAAGGACACUGACACCCAUUAAUGUCUGAGUGGUUAUUAAUGCAGAGAGAAAAAGUCACUGUUACCUGUCUUUUAUGAAUGUGCUAACUCAUUAAUCUAUAAACAACACUUCUUCUAAUAUUUAGCAUUUAACAAUUCCAAAUAUUUAUUCACUAUUUACACAUAAUCAGCAAAAGCACAAAACUUCGCAUUAAAUCUCCCCAGACAUUUAAGCAUUCAUUACAAAUUUGUAAUCAAGCUCUUAGAUAAACAAAUAAUUAAAACUAUGAAUCUAAUAAAUCAGAUUUGUUGGCAUGCUCUAAACACCUUAAGAAGUGACAAUACAUGCACAGAAUGUCACUUUGAUUACCGAAAUUAUUAUACUAUGGGGAAAUGGCUUGCUGAGACCCUGAAGAGCCAGAGAGAAGAUACUGCUCACACAUGUGAAGGAUACACACUCUGUUUUCUCCUCCUUCUGUAUGAGAGAGCCUGCUGAUGUUUUGUGACUCAAAAAGUACGAGGAGGUCUAUGAGCAUAUUUUCAAUUAAGCGCAUGAGUUGUCGGCAUAAAUUCUUUCUGAAAUGAUGAUACAAUUCCAUAGCAAAACCAGGUUAUAGUAUAGUGGAAAUGAGUACCUUAGCUCUGUUAGCCUCCUACUCCAAGGACUGUAUUUCUGAAGGGAGCACACUUGUUUUGGGAAUUCUGGGAGCCAAGGGCUGGCUGCACUGUGAAUGUGUUUUGCUGCUCCAGCUUCUUAUGGCCCCAGAUUUCUGAUCAUAUUCUGCAUCCUUGGCUAAUUCUCUCAGGAAUUUUACAGUGAAAAGGAGAACAAGAGUGAGAACACAAGAAUAAGAUCAAGAAAGGUCUCUUCUCACCAGUGCUAUAAUCCACCUGAAAAGCUGUAGCCACUUGCACUACUAAAACCAGUCAUAAAAGUGCUAAUACAGUACACUAUGAAUUUAAAUUUGUGUCUUUAUUCUCUUCAUUCUAAUUGUUACUGUUUAAUGUUAUAGCUUCCCAAGGUUAUUAGUGUUAUACCUUUCCAGUAUCACAGUAAUUUUUAUAGGAUAUAAUUGCUAUACUUUCCCAGACAGAGUCACUGAAUUUACAAAAGCCCCCAAAGGAAAAAAAAAAAAUAGGACUUCAGAACAGCUGAGUUUAUAGGUUCAGGAGUUUUGACACAGAACUGGCCAUUCCUGAGACUGUCCUUGCCUGUGUGGUUGAAGAUGGACACGAGCACAUCAGAAUUCCAGCAGCAGGGUGGGAAGAGGAAGUGGAACGGAAGAAAUGCCUUUUUCUUUGACAAGCGUGACCCAGAAGUUUCCUCUCUCUCUUCUGCUCAUUUUUAUCUGGGAACUUGGCCACACCCAGCAGCAAGGGAGGCUGGAAAUAACGCUGCCCAUGCCCAGACCAAAAAUGGGGUGUCUUUUUAGUCUAAAAGGAGGGAGGAACUAGCACUGUGUGACAUCUAACAGUGUCUGCCACUGUCCAUGCUUUUGGCCACCAGAUAUUUGUGGGUCCUCCUCACAGACACAUCUACCCUCUCUCUGAGGGAGACGAGGCCCAAAUGCCUCGAUUCCAUGCAAAGAUCAGGAGCACCUGCAGGAAAAGCACUUGGGACCAGGAGGAGCUCCUGGAGAAGCUGGAUCACUCUGUUACCCCCAAGCUCUCCCUUACCCCAUACUUAACAGUGGUUCUGUAUAGGAAAAUUGCAAUAACAUUUCCCAUUCUGAAAAAAGAUAAGAAAACACGUAUAAGUUACUCAGGUCCAUAUCAAUGCUCAAAUCUUGCUGAGCAGGAGCUAAAAAGUCUUUUUUCUAUGUUAGCAGGCGAAUCUCUGGGUCAGUCCAUCUGGCAACCCUGGUUGUACUUUCCAGGAGAGCCUCCCUUGGCUGACAUGGUCCAGAAGAUUCUCCCCUGUCCAUCUGAAGCAGACAUUUAGGCGAUGGCCCUGGGAGGGGUGGGGAGGGGCUGCAGAGCUUUUACAGUUCCUUCCCUCAGGGGCAUGGUUGGGGCCCCCGGCAGCCUCCUGGCUCCAGGGCUUUGACAAGUCAGACUUAGAGUUUCCUGGGCAGUAAAAUUCCCUAAGAAACCCACGUAGGCUUUAAGAAUAUUUGCUUCCGGUCCAGUUCAUGCACAAAUAACUAAAGACAAAAUCUGGUUUGGCAUGCUUUUAGCCUAAAAACUUUAUUUACUGAUGUCCACGCUCUGCUUAGCCCCAGUGUCUCAAUUUAAAUGCAAUUGUCCUGAGUCUAUCCGAAGAAACAGGCUUGAGUGAGAGGCAACAUCCUUGAUUUGAUCUUUGCUGCUGUCUGUUACUUGACAGAGAGCUCUGGAUAGCGGUGCUUGAGGAAGGCUUGAGGACAAAGUCUGAGCUUUUGCUAAUUCUUUGGAGCUUCCUUGAGGACUCAAAUGGUGUCAUGAGUUCUCUCUCUCUGUCUCUGCAUCUCUUGGCUGUGCUGCCCUCUGGGUCUCAGGCAGGCUUCAUCAGUAUACCUAGGCCUAUAGAAGUCAUUACCACAUCUGAUUUUCCAGGAAGACACGCAUAAUCUCCUCUAGCAUCCAUAUAUAAAGGAUUAGAAAAGUUCCCAAUUGGCCCAGUUGACAUCCGAUACCCACCUGAAUCAGUCAUUAGGCCCAGGGGAUGGAGUUCUUUGGCUAGCCUGGGACAUCUGCCCAUCACAGCAUGGAGCGUCACGAUAGGGGAUCUGACUGGGACCACAUAAAGUACAUGAGAGGUGGCCCUCUUUUUCCUCCCACAAGAAAUGGAGGGAGGUGCUGUCAGACAAAAGGGGAAGGUAGGCUUGGCAAGCAAAAAUGAAAGGCAUCCGAGACAUCUGGCCACCAGCAGGGGCCACAGUGCUCGCGGGGUCUGGAAGGCUUAGUAAAGAUGGGUGGAACUACGCAGUAGUAGUUAAUAAGGUUUGCUAAAACCUGGGCCAUCUCUCUGCAAGUGUCCUUAUGUUAGUUCAGAGGCCCAGAGCAGGCCAGGGUAGAGGCCACAUGGAGACAAAGCAGCAUUUCUUCUGCAGAACUCGGCUAAGUGUAGUCUGAGCCUGGUGCACCCCUGCCUCUGGUCCUGCCCCUGCUAGAUAAAGCUCAGAACGAAACGUCUUUCUCCUCCCACUCCUCUUUCUCUUUGCCUUCUCUCCAAAAGAACCUCCCACCGGCAUCCUUAGCCUGAUCUGGCCCCUCCACUGGCCUCUGAGUGUGGAGUGAGACAGAGCUGAAAUGGAGAAGCCGGGCUUGGCUGGAAGCGAGGAGGGUGGAAGUGAAGUCCGUCACCGCUGGUGGGAGUGUCGGCCACAACAGUAUGUCCCCUCCUGCAUAGCUUCCUGAACUGUGACCUUGCCACUCUUCCAUCACGAGGUGGUGUCUGUUUCACCACCUCCUGAAGCUGGGCAGGCCCUGGAAGUGAUGCUGUGCUACUCCCAGGCAGAGCCUUUCAUGGGCCCGGUGGCUUUGCUUUCUGCCUCUUGGAAGCCGGCUACAAUGAAGGAAGUUUGUCUAUAUCCUGAGACCACUAUGCUGUGAGCAGCCCGUGAACCCACCGGAGAGGUCUUGCAGGAGGAAAUGGCCCAUGGAGAGAGAGAGAAGCCAAGGAUCACAAGGCACCAGACCCAGAACUUUUAAUAUUACAGAAUUUUAACAAUUUCUCUGAUUCUAUACUGUAUCUCUCCUAUGCUUAAAGUCUAGAAUCCCAAUGGCAUUCAUUAACAUAAUCACUGAUCUUACAAUAUAUAUACAAUAAAUUUAUAUACGAUAAAUAAGAUCACUGAUCUUACUAUAUAUCUUACGAUAUAUAAAUACUGUAAUUCUUACAACAGAUAAAUAUAUUUUACAUUAUUCAAAUAUUAUUAUUUGAAAUAUCAAAUAUUACUAUCUGAAAUAUUAUUAUUAUAAAAGACCACUGCUUUAUGACUAUACAGUCAAAAUACUGAGUCUUAACGUGUUUUGAAAUGAUUCUUUUCCCUGCAUGAUUAUAUCAUCAACUUAAUGUCUAGUUAGGUUCAUUUGUUUCCAUGGUUUUCAGGUUUUAGAGACUGUUUCUUUUUAAAAAUGUAAAACAUGUACGUUGUUCCAAAGUCAAAAUAUGUCCCCAGGUAAUUUGAUUUGAGUUUAAUUUUGUUUUUCAGCCAUGUAAAACAUAUUGAAUAGCUGACAUUGUCCAAAAAAGUUGACAUUCCAUCUCUCCAUCCUGUUCCCUCCAAUCCUCUAUAAUAAUCAUUUCCUUUAGUUUUGGGAUUUAUCCUUCCAUUGUUUCUUUUCAAAAAUAUAAGCCAAUAUGCAUUUACAUGUUUAUAUGUCUAUUAUAUUACCCCCUUUCUUAUGAAAAGGCUUGCACACUAUAAACACUAGUGUGUAUGCCUAAGAGCUAGGGUUUCUAUCUAUCUGUAUUAAUUGAAGUAUCCGAACGGCUACUAUAUGCAAAGCUGGGUGGUAGGCACUAAGAGUCAAGUCUUCAAUGGAGAAGAAACACUUAUACACCAGGUCAUUUCUAUGACUCAAUGUCAGAUUUUCAAGGUUUCAAAUCCUAUGGCUGAUUUCUCCCAUGUGAUUGGGGUCUACCCUAAAUCUGACCUGUGAUGAAGCUCUUGUUUCUGGGGAUAAAUGUGCCGAGAAGUCUUUCAUGUAUCCACAAAUGAGGAUGUUCUUGAUUAAAGAAAUGGCUGAGGUGAGGCAAUUUGCUUGAGACCACAGAAAGUUCCUUUAGAGAAUGUUCCUUGACUUGCCUGGGAUGUGUUCCUAAAGAUGCUUCAGGUAAAGAUUAAGCAAGUGUAGAAAUGGAGUGGAGUGACCUAGACCUAGACCCUGCCCUUGCACUUUGUAUUAGCUACUGAAUUCCAUUAAAUGAGUUGUUAAAUUUUUUAGUCAUUUUUAGGCAUGUGACCUCUGUAUUUCCUAUGAAAAUAUCUAUGGGUCAAUUUUACAUAUAAAUUUUUACAUAUAAAUAUAAAUUUAUUUUUA